ensembl:lncRNA
CUUUUAUUAGUUUAAGAAUCACAGUUGCUCUUCGAACUUCUGGGUAGGAAGAAAACAGAGCAAUAAAGAAUGGUUUUAGAAAUAAUUAAAACUUGAAAAAAAUCAUAGCAACUGUUUGGGAAACAACUCAUACUGAGAAGGCAAGGACAUUUCAGCUAAUCUUGGCUACAUCUGAUCCAGAGAACCACAGAAUUCUUCAGCAUGCUCUGAACUGAACACCUGGACUGCUUCUAGGUUUGAAAUAAAUGGAUCUGGGAUAGACAUUCUUCCUUUCACAGAAAUAAGGACCUGGCAGCAUUUGGCUGAGAUGCUCACCUUGAACUCAUAGAGUCACCAGGAACCAUGGCAAACUGCCAGGUCAAAGAGAAAGAGUUACAAACGUGCCUAUUCUGAAGGCAUUCCAUAUGUAAACUUCUGUUUAUUUGUAGUGGUGUGGAUAAUAUUACUGUAAUAAAUGCCAUUGCUCUGACCAUCUUUCUGAAGCACAUAAUCUGUUUCAAUAUGUUUAUCCGGUUUUUCAAAAGUGUUUCCAGCAGUGACUACAGGUCAUUACCAAGGUCCUACAGGUGUAUUUUGGCUUGUGAACAUUCAUUGAAAACAAUCUAACAAAUACUUAUUAAUUCCAUCCUGCAAUGUGAUGGAAAGCACAGCAAUGACAGUGUAGCAGCAAGGUCCCAGACUACAACAAAUGAGGAUUUACUCAAAUGCAACAGCCGCAGAAAUAAAGGAAAGAAGCUGCUUACCUUCAGAAAGACUCAGAUAUCCAGAGGUAGUCCAUUCCCAGCAUGGAAUGAACAAGUCAUGACCCAUGGAUGCAGUUCACAGGAAGUCAUUUAUGUCCUUCGAUUUUUUUUUUUAAACUUGUCUACAAUUUUCAGUCUCUGUUAACAAUGUAGUCUAUGCAAUGAUCUGCACUGUUUCUCUUUGCAAAAUUUACUGUGUUAAUGGGUAAGCCUGAAGGAAACUUAAUCCUAAUUCAAGGAAUUUAGGAUUUAGUGUUCACAUUUUAUAAUUUAGAUAAUUUCCUUCCUUCCUUCCUUCCCUCCUUUCUUCUUUCGCUCCUUUCUUUCCUCCCUCCCCUCCUCCCCCCCGUCCUCCCUCUCUUUCUUUCCUUCUUUUCUUCUUUCCUUCUUUCCUUCUUUCUCUGGAAGUUCUGUCAACCACCUUGUCACAGGUGAGCCCUCUGUGUCCUCUGUGUAGAUGGAGAGCUUCAGAACAACUCAGGGAUUAUCAAUUUAGGAGGUCAGGCUGGGACCUCAGGCACAGUGUUGAUAUCUCCCUGUGCCUCAUUAUUAUAGCUACAGGACAAAUUUGAGUUUCAUCAUACUUCUCAUUUCUAACACUCAGCCUGGGAGACAUAAUG